rnacentral:rRNA from 1 species
UACGUAGGGACCGAGCGUUGUCCGGAUUCAUUGGGCGUAAAGAGCUCGUAGGCGGCUGCUCAAGUCGAAUGUGAAAACUCGAGGCUCAACCUCGAGCCUGCAUUCGAUACUGGGCGGCUAGAGUCUGGUAGGGGGAUCUGGAAUUCCUGGUGUAGCGGUGGAAUGCGCAGAUAUCAGGAGGAACACCGGUGGCGAAGGCGGGUCUCUGGGCCGAAAUUGACGCUGAGGAGCGAAAGCGUGGGGAGCAAACAGG